rnacentral:rRNA from 1 species
GAUGAACGCUGGCGGCGUGCCUAAUACAUGCAAGUCGAGCGAAUAGAUGAGGAUCUCUCUCCUCUGACGCUAGCGGCGGACGGGUGAUUCACACGUGGAUAACCGGCCGAUAAGACUGGGAUAACUUCGGGAAACCGGAUCUAACAUCGGUUCAGAUAUUGAACCGCAUGGUUCAAUAGAGAAAGACCGUUUUGCUGUCACUUAUAGAUGGAUCCGCGCCGCAUUAGCUAGUUGGUAAGGUAACGGCUUACCAAGGCAACGAUGCGUAGCCGACCUGAGAGGGUGAUCAGUCACACUGGAACUGAGACACGGUCCAGACUCCUACGGGAGGCAGCAGUAGGGAAUCUUCCGCAAUGGGCGAAAGCCUGACGGAGCAACGCCGCGUGAGUGAUGAAGGUCUUCGGAUCGUAAAACUCUGUUAUUAGGGAAGAACAAAUGUGUAAGUAACUAUGCAUGUCUUGACGGUACCUAAUCAGAAAGCAACGGCUAACUACGUG